rnacentral:misc_RNA from 1 species
AAGUCGUAACAAGGUCUCCGUUGGUGAACCAGCGGAGGGAUCAUUACAGAGUUGCAAAACUCCCCAAACCAUCGUGAACCUUUACCGCUAAACAGUUGCUUCGGCGGGUGGCCAGGGGCGCGCGCAAGCCCACCCCCGGCCGCCGAGCCCGCCGGAGGAAUCCAAAAAACCAUCGCUUUCAGUACCGGCCUCUCUGAGUUACUGUACUUUUAAUUAAGUCAAAACUUUCAACAACGGAUCUCUUGGUUCUG